GAUAUUGGAUCAAACACCGUGUCCUGUUUUUCGCCAAUCAAUUGUAAUCCGUAAGUUAAAGACUUAUUAAUAGCAUUACAUUUAAAAAUAUUCAUUGCUAAAGACUUAGUCUUUGAAGUGGAACCUGCAAGAGGAGAGUGGAAUAACACCUUGACACGACAAAGUUAAGACUCUAUCCCUAUAGGCUGAUACUUUCUUCUAUAUUUCAGAUUACUAAUAAGUCAACUACAUUGAGAUUCUUCUUAAGUUUCUUACCAGGCAUAUUGAACAAGUCAAGU